rnacentral:rRNA from 1 species
UACAGAGGGGGCAAGCGUUGUUCGGAAUUACUGGGCGUAAAGGGCGCGUAGGCGGCCUUCUAAGUCGAACGUGAAAUCCCCGGGCUCAACCCGGGAACUGCGUCCGAUACUGGAAGGCUUGAAUCCGGGAGAGGGAUGCGGAAUUCCAGGUGUAGCGGUGAAAUGCGUAGAUAUCCGGAGGAACACCAGUGGCGAAAGCGGCCACCUGGACUGAACCUGACGCUGACACGCGAAAGCUAGGGGAGCGAACGGG